rnacentral:rRNA from 1 species
CGGUCCAGACUCCUACGGGAGGCAGCAGUGGGGAAUAUUGCACAAUGGGCGCAAGCCUGAUGCAGCCAUGCCGCGUGUGUGAAGAAGGCCUUCGGGUUGUAAAGCACUUUCAGCGGGGAGGAAGGCGUUAAGGUUAAUAACCUUGGCGAUUGACGUUACCCGCAGAAGAAGCACCGGCUAACUCCGUGCCAGCAGCCGCGGUAAUACGGAGGGUGCAAGCGUUAAUCGGAAUUACUGGGCGUAAAGCGCACGCAGGCGGUCUGUCAAGUCGGA